UAAAGUAGAGGUGCGGUUCUCAUCAGUAGCUUUCGUGAAAGCCUUCGCAAAGCGUUGCGUCAGUGAAAGGGAGCGUCGCCGAAGAGCCCGAGGCGUAAGGGUGUCUGGCUAAGCGGAGAAUAUCCGUUCGGCUGUCACGAAAGUGGAGGGCUACUGU
rnacentral:ncRNA from 1 species